rnacentral:rRNA from 1 species
UACGUAGGGUGCAAGCGUUGUCCGGAAUUAUUGGGCGUAAAGAGCUCGUAGGCGGUCUGUCGCGUCUGCUGUGAAAACCUAGGGCUUAACUCUGGGCGUGCAGUGGGUACGGGCAGGCUAGAGUGCGGUAGGGGGAGACUGGAAUUCCUGGUGUAGCGGUGAAAUGCGCAGAUAUCAGGAGGAACACCGGUGGCGAAGGCGGGUCUCUGGGCAGUAACUGACGCUGAGGAGCGAAAGCGUGGGGAGCGAACAGG